AACGCUAGCUACAGGCUUAACACAUGCAAGUCGAGGGGAAACGAUAGAGAAAGCUUGCUUUUUCUAGGCGUCGACCGGCGCACGGGUGAGUAACGCGUAUCCAACCUGCCCACCACUUGGGGAUAACCUUGCGAAAGUAAGACUAAUACCCAAUGAUAUCUCUAGAAGACAUCUGAAAGAGAUUAAAGAUUUAUCGGUGAUGGAUGGGGAUGCGUCUGAUUAGCUUGUUGGCGGGGUAACGGCCCACCAAGGCGACGAUCAGUAGGGGUUCUGAGAGGAAGGUCCCCCACAUUGGAACUGAGACACGGUCCAAACUCCUACGGGAGGCAGCAGUGAGGAAUAUUGGUCAAUGGACGAGAGUCUGAACCAGCCAAGUAGCGUGCAGGAUGACGGCCCUAUGGGUUGUAAACUGCUUUUAUAAGGGAAUAAAGUGAGUCUCGUGAGGCUUUUUGCAUGUACCUUAUGAAUAAGGACCGGCUAAUUCCGUGCCAGCAGCCGCGGUAAUACGGAAGGUCCGGGCGUUAUCCGGAUUUAUUGGGUUUAAAGGGAGCGUAGAUGGAUGUUUAAGUCAGUUGUGAAAGUUUGCGGCUCAACCGUAAAAUUGCAGUUGAUACUGGAUAUCUUGAGUGCAGUUGAGGCAGGCGGAAUUCGUGGUGUAGCGGUGAAAUGCUUAGAUAUCACGAAGAACUCCGAUUG
rnacentral:rRNA from 1 species